AUAUAUCUAAGGUGUUCGAGAAGUAUUCAGUGUGUUGACCGAACAUUAUCUAUUUUGGGAUCCUAUGAGUAAAUUCUAAUGGCAAGCCAUCGCACGUGGAAGCCAGGAAGAAUUUAUGUGGAGCCCACCUGUUGCUAGCGGGUUCAACCUAGCUAUAUUGAGACGGCACCACUGGAUAUAUU
rnacentral:other from 1 species